rnacentral:rRNA from 1 species
UGGGGAAUUUUGCGCAAUGGGCGAAAGCCUGACGCAGCAACGCCGCGUGGAGGAUGAAGGUCUUUGGAUUGUAAACUCCUGUCAGCAGGGAAAAAGGGACUGGGCCUCAUACGUCCGGAACUUGAUUGUACCGGCAGAGGAAGCCCCGGCUAACUCUGUGCCAGCAGCCGCGGUAAUACAGAGGGGGCAAGCGUUGUUCGGAAUUACUGGGCGUAAAGGGCUCGUAGGCGGCCAACUAAGUCAUACGUGAAAUCCCUCAGCUUAACUGGGGAACUGCGUGUGAUACUGGAUGGCUUGGAUUUGGGAGAGGGAUGCGGAAUUCCAGGUGUAGCGGUGAAAUGCGUAGAUAUCUGGAGGAACACCGGUGGCGAAGGCGGCAUCCUGGACCAAUAUUGACGCUGAGGAGCGAAAGCCAGGGGAGCAAA